rnacentral:rRNA from 1 species
GACGAACGCUGGCGGCGUGCUUAACACAUGCAAGUCGAACGGAAAGGCCCUGCUUGCAGGGUACUCGAGUGGCGAACGGGUGAGUAACACGUGGGUGAUCUGCCCUGCACUUCGGGAUAAGCCUGGGAAACUGGGUCUAAUACCGGAUAGGAGCCAUUUUUAGUGUGAUGGUUGGAAAGUUUUUUCGGUGUAGGAUGAGCUCGCGGCCUAUCAGCUUGUUGGUGGGGUAAUGGCCUACCAAGGCGGCGACGGGUAGCCGGCCUGAGAGGGUGGACGGCCACAUUGGGACUGAGAUACGGCCCAGACUCCUACGGGAGGCAGCAGUGGGAAAUAUUGCACAAUGGGCGCAAGCCUGAUGCAGCGACGCCGCGUGGGGGAUGACGGCCUUCGGGUUGUAAACUCCUUUCGCUAGGGACGAAGCUUUUGUGACGGUACCUAGAUAAGAAGCACCGGCUAACUACGUG